rnacentral:tRNA from 1 species
GUUCAAAAAUCAGAUUUGACUGAUAACACAUGGAACUUCAAUCCAUUGCUCUACCAUUGAGCUAUAAUGA